AUUGAACGCUGGCGGCAGGCUUAACACAUGCAAGUCGAGCGGGGUGAUGGUGCUUGCACUAUCACUUAGCGGCGGACGGGUGAGUAAUGCUUAGGAAUCUGCCUAUUAGUGGGGGACAACAUCUCGAAAGGGAUGCUAAUACCGCAAACGUCCUACGGGAGAAAGCAGGGGAUCACUUGGGACCUGUCGCUAAUAGAUGAGCCUAAGUCGGAUUAGCUAGUUGGUGGGGUAAAGUCCUACCAAGGCGACGAUCUGUAGCGGGUCUGAGAGGAUGAUCCGCCACACUGGGACUGAGACACGGCCCAGACUCCUACGGGAGGCAGCAGUGGGGAAUAUUGGACAAUGGGGGGAACCCUGAUCCAGCCAUGCCGCGUGUGUGAAGAAGGCCUUAUGGUUGUAAAGCACUUUAAGCGAGGAGGAGGCUCUUUUGGUUAAUACCCAAGAUGAGUGGACGUUACUCGCAGAAUAAGCACCGGCUAACUCUGUGCCAGCCGCCGCCGUAA
rnacentral:rRNA from 1 species